rnacentral:rRNA from 1 species
CAUGGCGCGUGCAUAGGCAUGCAAGUCGAGCGAGAACCGUAGCAAUACGGGGACAGCGGCGAAAGGGAGAGUAACGCGUGGAUACCUACCCCCGGGACUGGGAUAGCCGCGGGAAACUGCGGGUAAUACCGGAUAACGUCUCCGGACCAAAGGUGUGACUCCGCCCGAGGAGGGGUCCGCGUCCUAUUAGCUAGUUGGUGAGGUAAUGGCCCACCAAGGCAAAGAUGGGUACGGGGUGUGAGAGCAUGCCCCCGCUCACUGGGACUGAGACACUGCCCAGACACCUACGGGUGGCUGCAGUCGAGGAUCUUCGGCAAUGGGCGCAAGCCUGACCGAGCGACGCCGCGUGCGGGAUGAAGGCCUUCGGGUUGUAAACCGCUGUCAGAGGGGAGGAAAUGCUGUGGGGUUCUCCCCACGGUUUGACCUAGCCUCAGAGGAAGGACGGGCUAAGUUCGUGCCAGCAGCCGCGGUAAGACGAACCGUCCAAACGUUAUUCGGAAUCACUGGGCUUAAAGGGUGCGUAGGCGGCCCGGAAAGUUGGGUGUGAAAGCCCUCGGCUCAACCGAGGAAUUGCGCCCAAAACUGCCGGGCUUGAGGGAGAUAGAAGUGAGCGGAACUUAGGGUGGAGCGGUGAAAUACGUUGAUAUCCUAAGGAACACCAGUAGCGUAAGCGGCUCACUAGGUCUCUUCUGACGCUGAGGCACGAAAGCUAGGGGAGCGAACGGGAUUAGAUACCCCGGUAGUCCUAGCCCUAAACUAUGAGCACUGGGGUUUUGGGAGGGCCCUCCAUAGCCCUCCAGACGUAGCGAAAGUGUUAAGUGCUCCGCCCUGGGGGAGUAUGGUCGCAAGGCUGAAAC